AGCUAUUGCAGCUCUUUUAGAAUUGUUUCUAGCAGGUUUUCUGACUUUGGUUAGAAAAUGCAA
ensembl:snRNA Gm27343 predicted gene, 27343